rnacentral:lncRNA from 1 species
ACUUAUCCAAUAAACCAAUUGGACUUGAUCCAAUCAAGCUCAAAUUUAAUUUAAUUAAAUUAUAUUCAAUUAGACUUAAUCUCAGCCCAUUGGCUUAAUCAAAUUAAGUCAAUUAGCAAUCGAAUUGUUAAUCGAUCCUCCUGCAACACUUGCACUAGGUUAAAUGUCAAUCGUAUUGAUCGUUUAAUCCUAGAAUGAUUCUUAAUCGUUGAUCAACCAUCUGAUCGGAUCAUGAACUCUAAUAUGUAAGACCUCAUAGGUUUGAACCUAAAUCGAUAGUAUAAAAAUAAAUUUUUGUACCAAUCGAUGUGACCAUCUAGCAAUGGUACCCGACGGCCGGAUAGAUCGAAUGUGUAGAAUAAUAUCCCUAAAACCCAUGCGGAUAUAGUUUCCAUAUAAUUCAUCUCCUUGACCAAAAUGAUCAUAGGACACCUCAGAGUUCAACUGUCAACUCUGAUUAGGUUGUCCAUAUUGUAUUUUAAAAUAUCAAAUCCAUCUGAUGGAUUACUCUGGCCAAGUUUUGCUAAAUUAAAAUACAGCGACUCAUUCUUCUCCAACUCUUGGAGUGGUCAAUCCCAU